AAGCAUAAUAUAUGUUGUACAGAGUUAUGCGCUCGAAUCAAUUCAAUCAUUAAAAAAAAACCUAAAUAAAUCCACCUAGCGGUCAGACCCAGCCUUUCUCAUUCAAACUUUUAUUUGCAAAAAUAGAUUUACAUGAACGCUUCAAUCCAAUAAAUGUAUAUUCACUCUUAAGGUUCUAAAAUAUUGAUGUUGUAAUCUAUACAUAUAAAAAUUUAGUCCGGUCUCUCUGUCUGUCUGAUCCAUAUAGGCUCGAAAACUACCGAACCGAUCGGCGUGAAACUUUGUAUGUAGGGGUUUUUGGUGCCUAUAAAGGUUCCUAUGAGAGUUUGAGACCCCUCCUUCUUCUGGAAGGGAGGGGUCCCAUACAAAUGAAACAAAUUUCUGCCCAUCUCGAAAACUAAUCAACUAAAUGGAACCAAAUUUGGCAGGUAAAUGUUUUUAGAGGUAAAAUAUGUGCAUCAUGGUUUGACACCCCUCCCUCUUCUAUAAGGGAGAGGUACCAUACAAAUGAAACACAAUUUUCGCAUAGCUCAAGAACCAAUCAAGAAAAAACAACCAAAUUUGGUAUGAGAAUGUUUUGAGAGGUAACAAAUAUGUCCAUAAUGGUUCGACGCCCCUCCCUCUUCUGGAAGCACAUGUUUCUGCACAAAUUUCUGCACAUCUCGCAAAUUAAUCAACUAAAUGGAACCAUAUUUUGUGAUUGAAAGUUUUAGUGGUAACAAAUAUGUUCCAUAAUUGACCUCAGGUAACAUUUUGGAUUGUAAGAUGGCAACAUACGGUUUCUGGAAAACAGCCAGAAAUGGCCGAUUUCCACCCAAUAUAAUAAUAUGCGGAUCUAGAAUGAUACACAGGAGCUCAAAUCCACCACAGAUACCAUUUUGAAUUCUAAGAUGGCGACUCCCGGUUUAUGAAAAACAGCUGAAAAUGACCAAAUACUAUCCAAUAUGAGUAUCUCCGGAGCCAGAAUGUUGCAAGAAGCUAAAAGUUGACUUCAGACACCAUUAUGAAUUGUAGGAUGGCAACUUCUGGUUUCUGGAAAACAGCCAAAAAUGGCCGAUUUCCGCCUAACAUGAGUAUCUCCGGAACUAAAAUGAUACACAGCAGCUGAAAUCGAUCACAGACCCUGGGUGCUAGGUUGGCGACUUCCGGUUCCUGGGAAACAGCCGAAAAUGAUCGAAUAACACCCAUUAUGGGUGUUUCUUCAAUCAGAAUGACGCUCAGAGGCCAGAAAUGAUCUUAAGUACCAUUUUGAAAUCCAAGACGGCGACUUCCGGUUUGUGAAAAACAGCCUAAAAUAACCAAUCAGGCACCAUUUUGAAUUGCUGGCAACUUCUAGGAAACAGUCGAAAAUGACAGAAUAAUACUCAAUAUAUCGAGAUGAUGCAUAGAAACCAACCAUUGAAUCUGGACACCAUUUUGAAUUAAAAGACGACCACUUUAAGUUUCUGGAAAACAACCAAAAUAACUAAAAACCUCCCAAUAUGGGUAUUUCCGGUGUCAGAUUGAUGCCAGAAAAUCUGCUGAAAAUGACCGAAUACCGCCCAAUAUGAAUAUAUUCAGAAUUAAGGCGAUGUACAGAAGCCAAAAGUCGAGGAUGUUGUCAUUUCGAUAAAACCAAUCAUUUCAAACGAUUUGUUGUUUGACUUUGAUCAUAUCCUAUGGCCGAUUCUUCGUGCAUUUGCAGACUUUAAACACAUCGCAAGGAAUCAACGAAUUUGGAACGUUCAAAUAGUACGAUACCACAUUUAAAUUAUAUUGAGGUCACAAAUAUCGAUCAAAGCAGGUAUCGUUUCUAAUAGUUUUUGAAUUUCUUUUCUUUUCAUAACUUUUGAGCCACAUAUCAAAUGCUAUGAAAUUUGUAAUUUGUAAGUUUGAGAGAUGACUCGUUCGUAUGACACUAGUUAUGUUCAAAUAAGUUUUGUAAUCUUUGAAAUAAUAGACUUUCGUUGUUUUAUCAACAAUUUAAUACAUAACGGUUGCUUAAUUCCGAUUAUAAUCAAAUGAAAUAGGAGCGUAUAGGGCAGCCAAACUUUGAAACCACGUGUUCAGUCAUAAGUGCACGCUUAACUAGUCCGCUCGUCUGAUAAUAAUGUUGAUCAAAUCGGUUGUGUAGUUUCUGAGAUAAUGAAGUUUCGUGAUUUUCACAUUUUGGUACAUUACAGACGAAGUUACUGUUCGAUUACAGUAAAAUUCAAUGGGGUGUUAUGAGGCAGCUAGACUUAUCAAUUGACACUAAUUUUGUGGAAAUCGGUUCAGCCAUCCCUGAGAAAAGUGAGUGAGUCCAAGUAGUCUUCGGAAUAUGUUCCUUUUCAUAGCUGGAUUUCACAUUUUUAAACAUAACAGUCAAAGUAAUAGUCCGAUUGCAAAACAAAUCAAUAGGGUCUUAUGGGACAACAAGACCUUCCAUUUGACACUGAUUUUAUGAAAAUCGGCCCAGCCAUCUUUGAGAUACACGAGUGAGAUUAAACUGUCUUCAGAACACGUUUCUUUUCGUAACUUUUGAACCACAAGUUCAAUCUUUAUAAAAUUCAAAAGUUAAGGGUUGUCCAGGUAGCUCGUUCAUUUGAAACCAAUUUUGUUCAAAUCGGUUGUGUGGUUUUAGAGAUAAUGAUGUUUUAUGAUUUUUACAUUUUGAUACAUAACCUCUAAACUAAAAAUCCUAUUACAAUAAAAUUUAAUAGGGUCUUAUGGAACAACAAGACCUUUCAUUUGAAAUUAAUUUCUUGACAAUCGGUCCAGCCAUCUCUGAGAAAAGUGAGUAAGAAAAAAAAAGUUGCACAUACACACACACACACACAUACACACACACAUACAGAAAAUGCUCAGCUCGUCGAGCUGAGUCGAGUGAUAUAUGCCAUUCGGCCCUUUGGAGCACUUUUAUAUCUUCGGUUUUGCAAGUGAUUGCUAUACCUUUCUAGGAGAAAGGCAAAAAGGUCAGCUUAGCUUUGUAAAUGUUCAAGAAUAGGGUUAACAUUUUAUCUCAUUUGCACAUACGUUGAGAUGUUAAUCAUUAAAUAAUCGCGCGAUGUCAGCUGCCUGCAAGAAACACCGCCGUUCGAAAUCGGCAAGAAUAAUAACAACACAUAAACACACUGCCGCUGAACACCGAUACUGUAUGCACGUAUGAACACUGCUUUUUUCGUACAACAUAUAUUAUGCUUCGUUCGUCAUGCUUACACUUCUGUGUGAACAAACCUUCAAAAACAUAGAUGAUACUAGCGCCACUGUCUUUCACGGCAGCUUCAGGAAACAAGCCCGAUGCCACCGGGUUGGUUGAAGCUGAAAAAUUUUACAGUGCGCUUCGGGCAGCACGGCAGGUCAAAACUGGGUCAAAUCGAGCGAAUUGGCCUUGACACAAGUAAAAGAGAUUUUUAAGGCUGUUUGCACCUACGCGAGUUUUCAUAUGCAAUUGUCAAUUUAUAUGUGAAAACAAAAGCAAAAAUAUUUCCUUCUUUCACUUUCGCAAGUAAAAACCAAACCAAUAUCAACAGAGUCGUCAGGGCCAAUAAAGAAGGGGUUUGACAGCAGUUAGUGCGCUUCCAGGUCAAAACGAGGUGAGCUGGUGGAAUAAAGAAAUUCGCUAUAACUUAUAACGAUUCAAAUGUUUAUCGUACUUUUUCAGUUCCUCAACUCAUAAUCUUCGAUACGCAUGGGACGUUUUGUUCCACGUUUUUGACGUCCGAUCACUUCAUUUGGAGUUUUCUUCCAAGCUCCAGAAAUUGGUGCACUAGCACAAGCUCGAAAACUGGAAGAAGAUGUAGCCCAAUCUAAAAACGGGCUAUAGGAUUGUGAAGCGCAUCAAUACGGAAUUGAAAGACCGAUUACAAGAAACGUAGUUUAUUGUUCAAGGUUUAAGUUUAGAAUGACAAUGAUAGUGAACCAGAGUAAUAUAUAACGAGCCGAAGAAUUUUGCCGGAACGCUGCAACAGGAAGACUCUUACCCAGCCAACAAUUUGGUCCGUAUAUAUCAGUUGUUGUUGAGAUAUAAGCAGCCUUGUACAAUCUGAUAAAGUUGUAUAUAACGUUCUAUAUGAGCUUAUAAGUACCAAAGUGGAGACAAUAUACGUACCAAAAUGGUUCGCGCAGUUAAA